rnacentral:tRNA from 1 species
GCAGUGGUGGCUCAGUGGUAGAAUUCUUGCCUUCCAUGCGGGAGACCUGGGUUUGAUUCCCAGCCAGUGCA